rnacentral:lncRNA from 1 species
GGAACUUGGCAGAACCCACAUCUGCCUAAGGUGGAAGCCUAUAGCCUAGGAGAGCCCUUUAGACAGCACUGUGUCCCCCAACGUCCCCUCCCCACAUCCUCACCAUGGCCAGUUUGGGAUUAGGCUUUAGGAGAACCAGGAGAGGACCAUGGCGGGAAGAGUUCUGGUCACUAGCACAUCUGCUGGUUCUGUCCAGUCUUGACUAUUGCUGCAGCCCAGGGGCUCCCUGCAGAAGGCUGGGCUUUGUAGAGAGCCAGACUUGUACUGGGGACACCAUGACCUUAAACUUGGCUGGGCACAGGGUAGUUGAGUGGAAUCCUCUAGUUGUGUGGGAAUGGGCUCUUCCCUCCCCUUCUAAUAAUCUCAGCACUUGCUGGAGAAACAGGACCAGACCAGGCUGCAAACCCCCAGGGCACCUUCCCUGCCUUGGCUGCCUGUUUAGGCUUGGAGUAGCGGCAGUUUUAGCAGCGGACAGGAGGAAGCCCAGGCAAUAGGAGUUGUCUGUCCUCUGGCCCUGGGGCACAAGAUCCCUGGUAGGAAAGUGAGGUAUGGAGAGAGGUUGUCUGGGCUGGGGGAGGAGAGCCAGUCCUUGAGUUGGGAGUGU